GGGGUUGUAGCUUAGUGGUAAAGCAUUUGCCUAGCAAGUGCGAGACCCUGGGUUCGAUCCUCAGCAUCACAU
rnacentral:tRNA from 1 species